UCGCAAUCUUCUUUGUCGAUUUGAACUCUCAAAAAAAAUUACGCUGUUAUCCCUAAGGUAACUAUAUCUUUUAAUCUAAAUAAUAGGAUCAAACAAUCACAAAUUAGUGGAUAUUUCUAAGAAAAGUUUUUUUAAUUUUACUGUCACCCCAACCAAAUAAACAACUUAAUAUAGAAUUUAGAUUCUAAUAAUCUAAAAAAAGUAAAUUUAUAAAGCUCUAUAGGGUCUUCUUGUCUUCUAUGAAUAUUUAAGCUUUUUCACUUAAAAAUAAAGUUCUAAAAAAUUUACACUGAGACAGUAGUUUCCUCAUUUAUCCAUUCAUUCCAGCUUCUAAUUAAGAAACUAAUUAUUAUGCUACCUUUGCACGGUCAAAUUACCGCGGCCAUUCAAUUACUUCAUUGGGCAGGACUGACCUUAAAUUAUAGUCAAAAGGCC
rnacentral:rRNA from 1 species